AUUGAACGCUGGCGGCAUGCCUUACACAUGCAAGUCGAACGGCAGCACGGGGCAACCUGGUGGCGAGUGGCGAACGGGUGAGUAAUAUAUCGGAACAUACCCUAGAGUGGGGGAUAACGUAGCGAAAGUUACGCUAAUACCGCAUACGAACUAAGGUUGAAAGUGGGGGAUCUUCGGACCUCAUGCUCAUGGAGUGGCCGAUAUCUGAUUAGCUAGUUGGUGGGGUAAAGGCUCACCAAGGCGACGAUCCUUAGCUGGUCUGAGAGGAUGAUCAGCCACACUGGGACUGAGACACGGCCCAGACUCCUACGGGAGGCAGCAGUGGGGAAUAUUGGACAAUGGGCGAAAGCCUGAUCCAGCAAUGCCGCGUGAGUGAUGAAGGCCUUCAGGUUGUAAAGCUCUUUACUUCGGGACGAUAAUGACGGUACCGAGAGAAUAAGCCCGGCUAACUACCGUGCCAGCAGCCGCGGUAAAGUGACU
rnacentral:rRNA from 1 species